rfam:Citrus sinensis cultivar Ridge Pineapple sweet orange scaffold00307_contig_32, whole genome shotgun sequence.
AUGCAAGAGACUGUCAAGUUAGCCAAAAGACGACCGCCUAAUAAUACCCCAAAGGGGUUUUAAUCAAAUUAGUAAUUUAACCAACAUUUGGACACCACUUGGAAAUUAAGAUCAGGCGCGAGUCAUCCUUGGCUGCUAAACUAUACUCUUGGCU